rnacentral:rRNA from 1 species
GGGUCAGUAGGUUGGUCGUGCCACCGGUACGUACUGGUCUCACUGAUUCCUCCUUCCUGAAGAACCGUAAUGCCAUUAAUUUGGUGUUGCGGGGAAACAGGACUGUUACUUUGAAAAAAUUAGAGUGUUUAAAGCAAGCUAACGCCUGAAUACAUUAGCAUGGAAUAAUGAAAUAGGACGAUCGAUCCUAUUUUGUUGGUUCCUAGGAUUGACGUA